UACGAAGGGGGCUAGCGUUGCUCGGAAUGACUGGGCGUAAAGGGCGCGUAGGCGGAUGGUACAGUCAGAUGUGAAAUUCCUGGGCUCAACCUGGGGGCUGCAUUUGAUACGUGCUGUCUGGAGUGUGGAAGAGGGUCGUGGAAUUCCCAGUGUAGAGGUGAAAUUCGUAGAUAUUGGGAAGAACACCGGUGGCGAAGGCGGCGACCUGGUCCAUUACUGACGCUGAGGCGCGAAAGCGUGGGGAGCAAACAGG
rnacentral:rRNA from 1 species